UACGGAGGAUCCGAGCGUUAUCCGGAUUUAUUGGGUUUAAAGGGUGCGCAGGCGGGGGAUUAAGUCGGCGGUGAAAUUUUUCAGCUCAACUGUAAAAGUGCCUUCGAAACUGGUUUCCUUGAGUGUAGAUGAAGUAGGCGGAAUUUGUGGUGUAGCGGUGAAAUGCAUAGAUAUCACGAGGAACUCCGAUUGCGCAGGUAGCUUACUAAACUACUACUGACGCUCAGGCACGAAGGCGUGGGGAUCAAACAGGAUUAGAUACCCUGGUAGUCCCUGA
rnacentral:rRNA from 1 species